UACGUAGGGUGCGAGCGUUGUCCGGAAUGAUUGGGCGUAAAGAGCUCGUAGGCGGUUUGUCACGUCGGAUGUGAAAACCCGAGGCUUAACCUCGGGCCUGCAUUCGAUACGGGCUGACUAGAGUUCGGUAGGGGAGACUGGAAUUCCUGGUGUAGCGGUGAAAUGCGCAGAUAUCAGGAGGAACACCGGUGGCGAAGGCGGAUCUCUGGGCCGUAACUGACGCUGAGGAGCGAAAGCAUGGGGAGCGAACAGG
rnacentral:rRNA from 1 species